rnacentral:miRNA from 2 species
AGGAUGAGCAAAGAAAGUAGAU